UAAGACUUAUGAACAACUAAUCCAUAUCUUUUGAAUGCAACUCAAACACUUUUAUUAAGCUAAAGCCUUA
rnacentral:tRNA from 1 species